UGUGACUGAGGUCUGACCUUAGUUCCCAGUCAGUCAGACAAUUUACAGAGCAAAGAUGUUCAUUUACCUUAACUUUCUAAUCCUUGGGUAUAUCUGCAAUACCUGCGCUGGGUUACGCCAAAAGACAAUGCCAGAGAAAGAAACAGUAACCUUGAGCUGUAAUCACCCUGUGGGAAGUUGUGUAACAUGGAGCAGAGAAAUAGAUUGUAAGACAGUAGACAUUGUCACUAUUCAAGAUGGAGUCGAUGACAGAAAGCACAUUUCUGAUCCAGGCAACCAUUAUGGCUCAAUAGACAAGUCAUUGGUUAUAGUGAGUUUGAAAGCCUCAGACACUGGGACCUACUUCUGCAACAUGCAACCAACAGUAGAUCUAAGAGUGACAUCAAACAAUGGCAAGAGUGUCCCAAUAACCAACUGUUCUGGAGAGAGAAGACCAAACACCGAACACAAUAAUACUAAGCAAGUGUUGGUUGGUGUAGUUUCUGGUUUUGGGGUGCUUCUGUUAAUGAGCAUCUUCAUCUGGAGAUAUUUCUCAAAAAGAAGAGCAGUAAGGGCUGAAGCGGAAGGCAAGAACAUUGCAGACGACCACAUCUAUGCUGUCAUAAAGGAUCAUGGGGCCAGGCCGAGAGCAGAACGCAGCAAUCAGGGUCAGAGUGAGUCUAUAUAUCACCUGGCAGGUGUUCCAGGAAUGAAGGGUGAAGGUACUCCUAAACAGAGUGAAUCCCCUUAUGUCAUGCUCCAUAUUCCACAAACUGAAGUCACAACAGUGAGGGCAUGAACUCCUUCGCAAUAAAUCUACAGGAAAUUA